GCCCGGUUAGCUCAAUCGGUAGAGCGUGAGACUCUUACUACCCAGUAAUCUCAAGGUUGCGGGUUCGACCCCCGCAUCGGGCU